UCCAGACUCCUACGGGAGGCAGCAGUGAGGAAUAUUGGUCAAUGGGCGGGAGCCUGAACCAGCCAAGUCGCGUGAGGGAAGACGGUCCUAUGGAUUGUAAACCUCUUUAGGCGGGGAGCAAUGCCGGGCACGCGUGUCCGGAGGGAGAGUACCCGCAGAAUAAGCAUCGGCUAACUCCGUGCCAGCAGCCGCGGUAAUACGUAGGGGGCGAGCGUUAUCCGGAAUUACUGGGUGUAAAGGGAGCGUAGACGGCGGGGUAAGCCUGAAGUGGAAGCCCGCGGCCCAACCGCGGAACUGCUUUGGGAACUGUUUUGCUGGAGUAUGGGAGGGGUAAGCGGAAUUCCAGGUGUAGCGGUGAAAUGCGUAGAGAUCUGGAGGAAUACCGGUGGCGAAGGCGGCCCCCUGGACAAAGACUGACGCUCAGGUGCGAAAGCGUGGGGAGCAAACAGGAUUAGAUACCCUUGUAUAA
rnacentral:rRNA from 1 species